rnacentral:lncRNA from 1 species
UUUUUUUUUUGAGAGAUAGGGAGCACGGAGCACGCUACUCGCUUCGUUUAUUUCAUUUAGAAAUAAACUUAACUAGAAAUGUGAAUCAACUAGGAUUCGAACUUAGGUCUCGGAUACCAACCACCAAGCCCUUUACCACUUGCUCUAAGGACGGUCGGUGGCCCCACAUGUUCUUUGAAUUUCUUUUGCAGCGUUCAACAGAGUAAAAAGAGUUUGGUGAGGGAAUAAUAUGGAAACAAUGGUAAAAAUUAAGCAUAGUAAUCGUCUAGAUUGUCACGGACUUAAGCAAAAUUA